rnacentral:rRNA from 1 species
GUGGGGAAUCUUGCGCAAUGGGCGAAAGCCUGACGCAGCCAUGCCGCGUGAAUGAUGAAGGUCUUAGGAUUGUAAAAUUCUUUCACCGGGGACGAUAAUGACGGUACCCGGAGAAGAAGCCCCGGCUAACUUCGUGCCAGCAGCCGCGGUAAUACAGAGGUCUCAAGCGUUGUUCGGAAUUAUUGGGCGUAAAGGGCGCGUAGGCGGGAAGGUGUGUCGACCUGUAAAUCUAUCGUUUCAAGCGGUAGGCUUGGGUUGAAACUGCCUUUCUAGAGGAUUUCAGGGGAGUUUGGAAUUUACGGUGUAGCAGUGAAAUGCGUGGAUAUCGUAAGGAAGGCUUGUGGCGAAGGCGAAACUCUGGGGAAUACCUGACGCUGAGGCGCGAAGGCUAGGUUAGCAAACGGGAUUAGAAACCCGAGUAGUCC